AAUUUGUUUUUAAGUAUGCAUUAAAUUCUCCAUAGGAUGACAGACACUCAAUAGUGCUUUGUUCUUUUCCUGAGGGAGAUACACGA
rnacentral:snoRNA from 1 species